GACGAACGCUGGCGGCGUGCCUAAUACAUGCAAGUAGGACGCAGUUGCGAACGGGUGAGUAACGCGUAGGUAACUGCCUAUUAGCGGGGGAUAACUAUUAGAAACGAUAGCUAAUACCGCAUACUAGUAGAUGGACCUGCGUUGUAUUAGAUAGUAGGUGGGGUAAUGGCCUACCUAGGCAACGAUACAUAGCAGACCUGGGAGGGUGUGCGGCCACAUUGGGACUGAGACACGGCCCAGAUUCGUACGGGAGGCAGCAGUAGGGAAUCUUCGGCAAUGGGGGGAAACCUGACCGAGCAACGCGGCGUGAGUGAAGAAGGUUUUCGGAUCGUAAAGCUCUGUUGUUAAGGAAGCGGUACUUAACCAGAAAGGGACGGCUAACUACGUGCCAGCAGCCGCGGUAAUUC
rnacentral:rRNA from 1 species